AACUUUAACGUUUCUUCUGACUUUUCUCUCAACAAACAUUACACUAAUAUUAUUUAAUAAAUAAAACACAACAACUUGUUUUCUUUCUAAUAAACAAAGACCAGAAGCUUUCCAACUUUAAACACAAAUGUUUUCUUCCAAUUCCCAAAUCACAAAAAAAACUAGGGUUCUGCUCAGUUGUUCUGCGCCUCUGCCUCCGAUUGAUUGACAACCACUGGUACCACAAUCUGGCGGACGCCCUCCAACUCUCCACUGUGUAUCAGUGUCCCGGUACAACAACUUUUAGACCGUAGCUUUGGGUGGCUGCCUUUAGUCUAUUCGGAGAUCCAAGAUAGCCCUAUAGGCGUCCGCAUUCCCUGGCAUCUCCCUCCAUCCUUUCAUCCUGUUUCAUUUAUGUAAUUCAGAAACAGGGUUGUAUUUAUUUUUGGACCUUGUUUGUAGUAUUCCUAGACCGUUUGUGAAGUUGUGACACCAGUUUUGGGUAGUAUUUGUUUAACGUAUUGUAUUGGAAAUAUUUAAAUGAUUUUAUUCGUUUCUUC